GUCCGACGAGACUCCCAACACUAUGUUGUGAUCAGUGCGGUAAGGCCCACUUGGACUGUGCCAUCGAGGUUCGGAUGCGUGUUAUUCUUGCGGACAGCGUCACCGUAUGAUGUGGGAUUGUCCUAACAGAGUAGGUGAUGGUAUGGCUCAACCGACAGGAUCUGUGUCUGGUUCUUCCUUAUCAGUUCGACCUCCAGCACGGGGUUUUCAGCAAUCGACAGGUCGUGGUAGAGGUAGAGGUGCAGGGCCGAGUUCGAGUGGUGCUCUUAGUCGAACCUAUGCUCUAGUACAUCGAUAGGAUCUCGAGUCAUCUCUAGAUGUAAUUACAAGUAUAUUGCCUGUAUUUUUUUAUGAUGUAUACGCGCUGAUUGAUCCUGGAUCCACAUUAUCAUAUCUUACACCCUUUGUGGCUAAUAUGUUUGGUGUUGAACCUAAAUUGAUAAGUAAACCCCUUGUGGUAUCAACUCCAAUAGGAGAUUCUAUGAUUGCUAGAAUGGGAUAUAGAGGUUAUACUGUGAUGAUUUUUAGUCGUCAAACCUCGGCAAAUUUAUUUGAGUUAAAAAUGGUUGAUUUCGAUGUGAUAAUGGGAAUGGACUGGUUGUCCUCAUGCUAUGCAAAUGUUGAUUGUCGUACGAAGAUUGUUAGGUUUCAAUUUCCUAGUGAACCCGUCAUUGAAUUGAAGGGGAACAUAUCUACACUGAAAGGUAGGUUUAUUUCCUAUCUUAAGGUAAGGAAAUGAUCUCAAAAGUUUACAUUUAUCAUCUCGUUCACGUUAGAGAUGCGGAGGCAAAGCAGCCUAAUCUAAAAUCAAUCCAUGUGGUUAAUGAAUUUCCAGAUGUUUUCCCAGAUGAACUCCUAGGCCUUCCUCCUUAAAGGGAGAUCGAAUUUAGCAUUGAUGUGUUGCCUGACACUCAACCGAUCUUUAUACCUCUAUACAGAAUGGCCCCAACAGAGUUACGAGAGUUGAAGGUGCAUUUGAAGGACUUGCUGGGUAAGGGCUUCAUUAGGCUAGCACUUCACCUUGGGGUGCGGCAGUUAUAUUCGUGCGGAAAAAAGACGGGUCGUUACGGAUGUGUAUCAACUAUCGACAGUUGAAUAAAUUUAUUGUAAAGACAAGUAUCCAUUUCCAAGAAUUGAUGACUUGUUUGACCAACUCCAGGGUGCCAAGUAUUUCUCCAAGAUUGACUUAUGUUCAGGGUAUCAUCAGGUGAGGGUUAAGGAGAACGAUAUUCCAAAGACGACCUUAUGGACAAGAUAUGGGCACUUUGAGUUAUUGGUAAUGUGGUUCGGGCUAACAAAUGCCCCAGAAGCUUUUAUGGAUCUCAUGAAUACAUUAUUCAGGCCCUAUCUUGAUGUGUUCAUGAUUGUAUUUAUUGAUGACAUUCUGGUGUAUUCUCGUUCGGAUGCGGAACAUGCGGUCCACUUGCGGAUAGUAUUACAGACGCCUUAGGAUCGUAAGUUAUAUGCUAUGCUCUACAAAUGUGAAUUCUGGCUGAACUCAGUAGCAUUCCUUGGCCAUGUGAUAUCUGAAGAGGGUAUCAGUGUCGAAACUCAGAAGAUCGAUGCAGCAAAGAAUUGGCCGAGACCUACAACAUCAUCAGAAGUCUGUAACUUCCUAGGACUAGCAGGAUAUUAUAGGCGGUUUGUAGAAGGGUUUUCCUCUAUAUCAGCACCAUUGACUAAGNNNNNNNNNNNNNNNNNNNNNNNNNNNNNNNNNNNNNNNNNNNNNNNNNNNNNNNNNNNNNNNNNNNNNNNNNNNNNNNNNNNNNNNNNNNNNNNNNNNNNNNNNNNGUGGUCUGACGCUUGUGAACAUAGUUUUCAGGAGCUGAAGAAUCGAUUGACAUCCGCACCAGUGCUCACUUUCCCUGAUGGAACAGAAGGAUAUGUGGUAUAUUGUGAUUCCUCAGGUUUAGGUUUGGGGUGCGUAUUGAUGCAACGAGAAAAAGUGAUGUCUUAUGCAUCAAGACAAUUGAAGAAGCAUGAAAAGAAUUACCCGACUCAUGAUUUUGAAUUGGCUGCAGUAAUAUAUGCUUUGAAGAUAUGGCGGCACAACUUAUACGGCGUCUAUGUUUACAUCUACAUAGAUCAAAAGAGUCUACAAUACAUCUUCAAGCAGAAAGAGUUGAAUUUGAGGUAGCGUAGGUGGGUUGAAUUACUGAGAGACUACGAGUUGAGACGUUGUAUCAUCCCGGUAAAGCAAAUGUUAUGGCAGACGCUCCCAGCUGUAAGUCAGUAGGAAGCUUAGUACACAUUGAGGCAGGUAAAUGAGGGUUAACUAAAGAGCUUCAUCAGCUAUCCAAUAUGAGAAUUAGAUUAUUAGACUCUGAUGACGGAGGUGUUACUGUACAUAAUACAUCUGAAUCAUCUUUGGUAGCCGAGGUAAAAGCACGGCAAUAUUAAGAUCCUAUCUUAGUACAAUUGAGAGAGAAAGAGCAUUCAGCAGUGUAAAAUUAUGGAUUUUGAGAUAGGAGGAGAUGGAGCACUAAGAUACAAGGGACGAUUGUGUGUGCCUAAUGGCAGGGUUGGGAGAAAAGAUUAUGAAUGAGAUUCACCAAUCUCGCUAUUCUAUCCAUCCCGUCUCGACAAAGAUGUAUCAUGAUGUCCAGGAGCAGUAUUGGUGGGAUAAUAUGAAGAAGUCUAUUAUAGAAUUUGUAGCCUAGUGUCCUAAUUGUCAACAAGUAAAGAUAGAACAUCACAAAACCCGGUGGAUUGCUUCAAAAUAUAGAGAUUCCGACCUAGAAAUGGGAGGUGAUUAAUAUGGACUUCGUUAUUGGAUUACCUCUCUCUUAUCAUAAGUUUGACUCCAUCUGGGUGAUAGUUGAUCGACUUACAAAAUGUGCCCAUUUUCUACCAGUUAAGACUACUUACAUGGCUGAAGAUUAUGUGAAGUUAUAUAUAAUGGAGAUUGUUAGGCUUCAUGGUGUGCCGAUAUCUAUUAUAUUAGACCGAGGAGCUCAAUUUACGGCUAACUUUUGGAGGUCUUUUCAGAAGGGUUUAGGCACACAAGUGAAUCUCAGCAUUGCAUUUCAUCCGCAAAUUGACGGGCAGACAGAACUUACCAUUUAGACACUAGAAGAUAUGCUACGAGCAUGUGUUCUAGAUUUUAAGGGAAAUUGGGAUGACCAUCUUCCACUCAUAGAAUUUGCCUUCAAUAAUAGCUAACAAUUCAAGUAUUAAAAUGGCCCCAUAUGAGGCACUAUACGGGAGAAUAUGCAGAUCACGGUUGGAUGGUUCGAAGAUGGUAAAACAGAAUUAUAUGGGCAAGAUUUGAUUCACAAGCCAUUGAAAAGGUGAGGGUGAUACAAGAACGAUUGAGGACGACACAAAGCAGGCAAAAAUCUUAUUCCGAUGUCCGACGCCGUGAUUUGGAAUUUGAGGUUGGUGAUUGGGUUUUCUUGAGGAUCUCACCAAUGAAGAGUGUUAUGCGUUUUUGGAAGAAAGGUAAACCGAGUUCAAGGUAUAUCGGUCCAUUUAAAAUUCUUCAACGAAUUGGAUAAGUUGCUUAUGAGUUGGAAUUGCCAUCCGAAUUUGAAAUUGUCCACUUGGUAUUCCAUGUAUCUAUGUUGAGAAAAUGUAUUGGAGACCCUUCUCGAGUUGUCCCUAUCAUUACCAUCCGAAUUGGAAUUUGUCCAUUCCGUAUUCCAUGCCUAUGUUGAGGAAAUGUAUUGGGGACCCUUCUCGAGUUGUCCCUAUCAAUGAUGUACAAGUUACAAAGGAUCUAUCAUAUGAAGAGGUUCUAGUGGUUUUAUUAGAUCGACAAUUCCGCAAGCUGAGAAUAAAAGAUGUAGCUUCCGUCAAAGUAUUGUGGAGGAACAAGAAUAUGGGAGAAAUAACAUGGGAAGCGGAAAAAGAGAUGAAGUCUAAAUACCCUUACCUACUCCAGAAUGAUGAUAACAAGGAUGGUGGUGGAACACAAGAUACAUUGGAAAGGUGGAACGACUUUAUGAGGUAAGCAAUAACUUGAGAACGCUCUUCCUUUAUACAAAAUGGUGAUAUCUAAAUAAUGUAAAUUUCCAUAAUGCUUUGUGUAGCCUUGUGAGGCCAUACGUUGGGCUUGAGUGCUUGAAAAUUUUGCUAGUAACCAUUUUAUAGGGGAAAAUGGACCGAAAAUUUCUGUUGGAAUCCACAAUGAUCUAGACUCCCCAUAAAGCCUUACAUUCGAGCACGUAUAUUCCUAAGGAGGGGAGGGUGUUACAACCCAUAUCCACACGCAUUAGUUCAUGCCAUACGUUAGUUAACAUAAAUCAAAGAAGGAAUUAUCCUUGAGACGAUAAGAAGUUAAUCUUAUUGGUCUUAAGUGAUACAAGGGUGUAUAAGGGUGAUUAACAAGCAAGAAGGAAUUAUCAUUGAAAUGAUAAAAAGUUAAUCUUAUUGAUCUUAAGUAAUACAAGGGUAAUUAACUAGUAUUAGAAGUUAAGAUAAUCAAGGAUGUAACUCAUAUUUUCAGGUAAAUCUAGAGGUGCUUAAUACACUCAAAAGGUCAUGUAUUGAGUUAUUUGAAUCAUAUAAUAUCCAUAUCAUAAGUCUUGAAGUCAAACGAGUUAUGAAACAAAGGUCGACAAAAGUUGUCGCAACUUAGGUUCAUAAUUUUACUUAAAAAUUAAGUCAAAUGUUUCUAAGCUUUUCUCCCAAUCUGGAAAGAAUUACAGGGUGAUCUACCCACCAAAUUAUCAUCUAUGAAUCUAGUUUCCAACACGUUAAACCAUUUAUCAAUAUGAUCUCGGAGUAUAGAGAUAUUCAUAUUUUCGCAAGCCUGCAUAGAUUGGUAGAUUAUAAGUAGGUGCAUCACCUACUUGCCAAAAUGAUAGGCCAAAAUUAAAAGACCUAAGUCGGCCAAGAGAGGACUUUUAAGGGGUUAUGAAUUCAGUUAUUUUACCCAUAUUUCAGACCAUCAAAACCAAAAUUAAACCCUGCAACUCCUUCCAUAAAAUCUCGCACAAAACCUAAUCGAUUUUCCCUCUCUUUCAUGUUCAAUUUGAAGGUAAAACCUAGAGUUUAAAGAAAAAAGAGAAGGGCUGAGUUAUCCAACAUGUAAGCUAAGUUACAGCCAUCUUUCAUACAUUUUUCUCUGCUGUGAAUUCAUGGUAAUUCGUUCUAUACGUAUAAGAACUCAGGGGAUGGUGAUCGGAAGCUGUGAGUUCGAGUUAUUCACUUGUAGCAGACUGUUUUGUAGACUGUUUUGUGUUGCUGUUGGUCUACGUGUUUUACUACUUUUUUGUGGAGUUUUGGAGGUGGAAGGUUGUGGAGAAACACCAUAUAUAUGUAUGGUUGUGGGCUGAUAGUUAUUCGUAACAUUUCCGGGACGUUUGGCAUGACUACGGUCGUCGUCGUAUGUAUGAAGUAAUUAUGUUCUGCAUGGACUAUUUUUGGAGGCUCAAUGUGUUUAUUAUUGAUGUUGUUUGGGCUGUUUGGUGAUUUUUUUUUGAAUGGUGUAAAGUCAUAUAUAUAUAGGGGAGGUGUUGUCCAUUUCAUCGUAAAAUAGGUUGUGAUCGAUACAUAAUUGUUAUGAUUCUUAAAUGAUAAUGAUAGUAUUGUUUCUCUUAUUGUAGACUAAGGAGUUGUGACAAUUGUAUAGCUUGAGAUUGGGGCAGUAUAUAUAAGAUAUGUGAGGCUAUCCCUUUACUUCUUUUUCACGACUCUGAUUAUACACAAUGUGAUGAAUGAACUUCCAAAGAUACUCUACUCUUAGAAGCUAGCAGUACUUACAUUGUUUCCUCUCUUAUGGAACGAUUGAUGUGAUGUUACUUAUAUUAUUCUUAUGUCAUCAAUGUUGUUGGCACUUCCUGAUUCUUCUAAGGUUCAUAGUGAAGAGUUAGUCCUAAUAACGUCUAUAGAGGAUACCGAUCUUACGUCACCCUGAAAGGUCUACAACGUGUUUCCAUGAGUCGAGCAAGCAUUAUAUAUAUGUAUCUAUUUUACUAUACCGAGCCACGCUAUAGUCGGCAGGGUACGACACCUAUUGUGAAACCACAGAUCAGUUGGGUUUUACCGAGCUCCACGUGGCCGGGUAUGAUUCUACGGAGCCUUAUGAUGGCCGGGUACAUUUUUUUUACUGAGCCCAUAACGGUUGGGUACAAUAUGAUGAUGCUCACAGAGGCGUAUGUUUUUAAACGUUUAUGUAUUUAUACAUAUGUAUCAUGCAUUUCAUGUCAGUAGCCUUCAGAGGUACUUAGAUGUUACAUGUUGUAUAUUCUCUAUCCCUGCUACAUUACUGUUCGGAUUUAUGGUUCCCUGCCUUACAUACGAAGUACUUUAUUUGUACUGAUUGGACACCGCAUGUUGUGCUACAGGUCCUGAUAGACAGGCAGGUGCAGCUCCCCCACCACAGUAGGCUUUCCAAUUCAGGGGUGAUUGGCGAGAUCCCUUCUCCGUACUUGCCGUUGUCUUGGUAUGUAUUUUUGUUAUGGAUAUUAUGGGUAUGUCGGGGGCCCUGUUCCAUUUAUGUUGCAACAUUUAUGUUCCUUUAGUGGCUCAUAGACAUGUGUUGACUCCUGUAUAGUUAGUAUGCCUUGUCGGCUUUUUUUUGUGUUAUAUAGUCUUUCAUGGUAGCUUGGUAUCUAGCAAAUUAUAUAUAUAUAUAUANNNNNNNNNNNNNNNNNNNNNNNNNNNNNNNNNNNNNNNNNNNNNNNNNNNNNNNNNNNNNNNNNNNNNNNNNNNNNNNNNNNNNNNNNNNNNNNNNNNNNNNNNNNNNNNNNNNNNNNNNNNNNNNNNNNNNNNNNNNNNNNNNNNNNNNNNNNNNNNNNNNNNNNNNNNNNNNNNNNNNNNNNNNNNNNNNNNNNNNNNNNNNNNNNNNNNNNNNNNNNNNNNNNNNNNNNNNNNNNNNNNNNNNNNNNNNNNNNNNNNNNNNNNNNNNNNNNNNNNNNNNNNNNNNNNNNNNNNNNNNNNNNNNNNNNNNNNNNNNNNNNNNNNNNNNNNNNNNNNNNNNNNNNNNNNNNNNNNNNNNNNNNNNNNNNNNNNNNNNNNNNNNNNNNNNNNNNNNNNNNNNNNNNNNNNNNNNNNNNNNNNNNNNNNNNNNNNNNNNNNNNNNNNNNNNNNNNNNNNNNNNNNNNNNNNNNNNNNNNNNNNNNNNNNNNNNNNNNNNNNNAUCCAUGUCUACCAUUUAUACUGAUCUUGUCAGCCCUAAAAGAUAAUAAAGAAGGUUAGAUAAAAUGUAUGUUGGUGCUCGGCAAGUAUGGUUGGGGGUAUUCAUGGCCCUCCUGUUUGGGUCGUGACAUCUUAUUUCUUACAUCACCCCCCGUCCUAACCUUGUAGAAGCAAUGUUUACAUUUUAGGACCCACAAGGAAUAGUAUUCAUGUUUUGGGAUCUUGAGAUGACACCCACCUUAGCUGAGACAUCCGGGUUAACUCACCUGCUAUACCUUGACAAGGAUUUGAUUUUACAAGGGAUUAUUCAAGCACCACGUUCCUUAAGAUCAUAGGGAUGGAUUCAAAAAAUCACAUGGGAUGUCUAGAAAUCUUGGGUACCUUUGGACUUUUUAUUCGAGAGGUUUCCUCAUCCUACUAGGUAUGAGACCUUCAUACAUGAAUUUUAUGUAUCAUAUUAUUCUUGGAAGAAGAGGCGUCCUGUGGUCUUCGCUAUUACAUUGUUGAGUCUCUUGUUUUUUCGUUUGGAGGGUAGACAUAUUAGCACGAGUCUAGGGUCAAUAGCCUUUGCACUUUUCCAGGGUAAACACAAUAGUAAGGUCACCUUGGUUUCGACAAUUUUGGCAGAGAUCUAUCGUGCUUUGACUAGGAUUCGAGAGGGUGAGAUUUUCUUUGGGGGAAACAACUUGUUGAUGCAGUUGUGGAUGAUGGAACACAUACAUCCUACCACCUUGUUUGAGAAAGAUGUGAUUGACCGUUGUAUGAGACAUCGAUUGAAGUGCAUCGAGCAUAGAAUGACUUUCGAUAAUUUUGCCUUGCCACUCGAAGUUUAGGCUUGGGUUGAUUACUUAGGAUCCUUCUCUAAAGAGAAGAUUUUGUGGUCAUACCUUCGGAUUGAUUUGGACCUGAUCUUAGCAGGAUCUCAUGUCCAAGAAUUUUUUGUACUAAUUGGACUUUGGUGUACUAGACCAUAUACCCCUGGUAGAGUGAUCCGUCAGUUAGGGAGACGGCAAGAAGUCCCCUACACUCCUGAUUCUCGGAACUUCAUUUGGGAAUUUGACACUAUGCCUCAUAAGGAGGUCGACAUCCAGACCUAUUAGCAUCAUGCAAUGAAGAUGGGUAAGGAUACUUUAGCAGCUGGCCCACAUUCACCUGGGUAUAUCCAUGAGUACUUCAUAUGGCUACAGUCUACUCAGCGGGGGGUUCGCAGGCCAUUGCCCUGACGUGUUAGAGGAGUAUUUAACGAGGAGGCCACCUCACGGAUAUUACUUAGACAGUUGAUGGAUUAAUUUACCCAUGCAAAAGAGGCCCAUGCAGUAGAAAGUGUUGGGCUUCGAGCUUCAGUUCAAUCAUUUAGAUCAUAGUUGGCAGGGUUGGUAGAGAACAUGGGACAACACUGUGAGUACCUUACUAGAGUCAACCUUCAAGAUGCAAGCUCGCAUUCCAGGAUUCUCAUUCCUAGUUUCGAGGUGUCUUGGCAGGGUAUAAUAUGGAUCUUAAAUUCGAUAGGAUUGAUGGGGCCAUCCGAAUCUUCAUCAUACCCAUCACAGCUAGGACCGUCACAUUCAGAAGCAACUUAAGGAGUCAAUCAAUUUACGUGUUUUGAGAUUGUAUUUUGUUGUCUUUUACUUUUGAAUUUUGUCUAGAAGUACUGAGUCCUUUGGAUAGUGCCAGAGUCUAUCAUAGUGUAGUUGAGUCUGUCAGGUUUUUUAUUAUUGUACUUCCCAUUGUAUUUUAAUAUCGAAAUGUUUUUAAAUGAAAAUCCCAAAAAGAUUUUAUUUUAGUUUAUUUUCCAUCACUUUUCCAGAACUACGCUAGGUCCGAUUCAUGAAGGACAUGAUACGUAGGCAACUUACAUCGGGUUCGAUCAAGUCCUUUUUGAUUAAAAAAAAGAGUGGGAAGAAAAUAAUAAGUGGUGCUAGGAAAGAAAGAGAAGCAAUGAUUGAAAUAAGAAAAUUUGCAUGAUGUCAUAUGACCAUGUGACCCUCAAAGCCAAUUUAGAACCGCUAAUUUUUGCUAGGUGCAUUACAUGUAAUGUGAUGUUAUUAUAUGAUAAAUACUCUAAUGCUAAUAUGGUUGUUUUGUAUUGUAUUCCUCUGUUAUCUUUAUUCAAUUUUCAUAAAGGUGGUAAGUUUGUUGGCAUCCUGGCAAGCCAUCUAUAGAAUACCUUGUAAAAGCGUCAAACAGUCAUGGAUAGCAAAAAACAGACACAGGAGUUGUAGACCCACCAAGGCAGAUUGUUGAGUCGGAAUCGGAACUGCCAGAGGAGGUUCGGAGGUUGAAGCAUCAGAUGGCGAAAAUUUGUCAAGCCUGGAUUAAGAGACACCCUCCACCCUCGUUCCCUACCAACUAAAAAGAAAACCCUACUUCGAUUCGACCACUCUCCUAAUCCCAGAUGCCUAAUAUCAUUGAUCUUUCUCCACAACACGUACCGGGAUUUACCCCUUACCAUAACUACCCCGACACUUCGGCCUAAGCUUUUCACGCUCCACCAGCCAAAAUAACCUCGUACCAUGCUCCAAUAUCUACUCCCAUUUUUGUACCCCUUCCACAAGCUACCCUUCACUGAUCCUCUAGUGAGCCUGCGUUCCUCUCUCCAGAUACCCAUUACUAUGAACCAAAGCCCACCUUCAAAGUCCCAGAUCCUUACUCCUACACUUCCCACUUUGAGCCCAUGUUGAAAAUGACAAACCACCAAAGAAAGCAGAACAAGAGGAAAUAUUUAGGAAGGUAAAGAGUCUGGAGCAAUCAUUAAGAUAUAUGCAAGGGGUUGGAAAUCAGGUGAAUGUGGCUUAUAAAGAUGUAUGUUUGUUCCCUAAUGUCAAACUACCUGUCGGGUUCAAGAUGCCCAUGUUUGAAUUGUAUGACGGGCAUGGGGAUCAUAUUGCUCAUAUGAGAGGUAAUUACAGCAAAAUAAGAGGCAUCGUGGGAAAAGACAAAUUACUGAUUGCAUACUUCAGCCAAAGUGUGAAUGGUGCAGCUUUAGAAUGGUACACCCGCCAGGACGCCAGUAAGUGGUACACCUGGGAAGAUAUGGCUGAGGACUUCGCCUGGCACUUUGAGUAUAAUAUAUAAACUGUUCCAGACCACCUAUCUCUGAUCAAGGUGGAAAAGAAAUCUAGUGAAAGCUUUAGAUAAAAUGGGUUUCGAUGGAGGGAGCAAAUUGCAAGAGUCAAUCCUCUGAUGGAAGAAGAUGAGAUGAUUGAAUACUUUCUUCAAUCCUUGGAGCCCACUUACUAUGGCCAUUUGAUCUCAGCCAUCGAUAAAUCUUUCAAUGAUGUGCUAAAUAUGGGAGAAAUGGUGAAAGAGGGGCUCAAUUCAAGCAAGAUCAUGAGUUAUUCUGCUAUAAAAUCAAUCACACAGGCAAUCUAAAGCGGUACCGAUAGCCUGCUAGGAAAGAAGAAGAAGGAAGAUGUUACUAUGGCUGUUCCUAGACCAUGGCAUGGCCAGAGGGGUUCACCUCAUCAGUAUACCCAUCCUCGAUCCCAACCUCAAACCUAUAUCCAAGCUCAAUAUAAUCCAUCCCAACAUUACUUUUCCCCGCAAAACCCCCAAUACUCAGCCAGACCACCUUAAUACCAUGUUAACCAUGCACAAUCAUAUGCCCAACCCCCUCCUUACCCGCAAUGGCAUGCUCCAUCUCCACAAAAUACCUACCCACCUCCACAACUCUAUCAAAACCCCAAUGGUUCAAAAUUUCGACCAAGAGAGAGGCAACAAAGGAAACAAACUUUUACCCCGCUUGGCGAAUCCUAUGCUAGUCUAUUUCGAAGGUUAAGGCAGUUGGAUGUCUUGAGGCCGAUCGAGUCAAAGAUACCAAAUCCCCCUCCAAAGAACCUCGAUUAUUCCCUAAGAUGUGCAUAUUGUUCUGAUGCUCCGGGGCAUGACAUAGAGAACUCCUAGCAUUUGAAAAAGGCAAUCCCGAAGCUCAUCAAUAGAAACCAAAUUGUAGUCUAAAGCCUAAACGCACCGAACAUCAACCAGAAUCCAUUGACGGCCCAUGAUGAAACACAUAUGAUUGAGAUAGUUCACAAGGAUGGGGAGCCCAAGAAGUCUUCUAAGUCCAUCAUGAUGAUUCAGGCCAGUGAAGUAAUUUGGUUAAAGCUCUAGUCUUUACCAAAACAAAGCCCUUGACAGUUGAAGGGGUAACAGAAAAGCUGAGCUCGCUCAAUUUGAAGCCGCCGGUAUUGGUCGUGAAAGAGCCUUCAAAAGAUAUUAGGGCAAGUUUGGAAAGUUCAAAAGUGGUAGUGCUAGGGAUUCCAAGUAAGCCUGUCAUAGUCAUGAGGGGCGAUCCUAUUACCCUUAUCGUCACUAAACCAGUGACCCAUUUGGCAAUGGUUGAAUCAAAAGUUGUUCCAUGGAAUUACAAACAAGUGACGGUGACAUACAAUGGAAAGGAAAUAGAGAAAGAAGUUAAUGAAACCAGGGGAUUGACUCAUUAUGGGAGAUGUUUCACCCUAGAAGAACUAAGGAAAGCCAAGCCAUUCAAGGAUGGCCAAAUACUAGUAAAGAAAUCGGUCAUAGAGGAAGAGGCUGAGGAGUUUAUGAUAAAGAUGAAAGUGCAUGAUUAUUCCAUUGUGGAGCAGUUAAGGAAAACAUCAGCUUUGAUUUCUCUUUUGUCUUUGCUGAUACAUUCAGAUGAGUAUCGCAGGGUCCUGAUGAAGAUUUUGAAUUAGGCACAUGUUCCUAGCAAAAACACAGAGAACCACUUGGAAAACAUAUCUCGCAAGAUCUUUGAAGAAAACGGGAUCACUUUCUCAGAUGAUGAACUUCCUAUGGAGUGUACAAAAACAAUCGAGCUCUUUAUCUCAUGGUAAAGUGUGAAGAUUCUGUCGUCUCAAGGGUUUUGGUUGACAAUAGCUUUAGUAAAUAUAUUUUCCCCAUGUCUUCUCUGCAAAUAUUGGAGAUCGACACCGAAAUAAUCCACAUGAACAGUGUGUGUGUUCGAGGCUUUGAUGGGGGAGAUAAAGAUUCUGUUGGAGAUAUAAUGCUCAAUUUAUCGAUAGGGCCAAUUGAGUUCACUAUGGAAUUCCAAGUGCUAGAUGUGGCUGUCUCCUACAAUCUGUUGUUGGGCAGGCCCUAGACACAUACUACUAAGGCAGUACCGUCUUCUUUGCACCAAAUGGUGAUGUUCGAAUGGGAUAGGUAAGAAAUAGUUGUGCAUGGUGAUGGGGACUUGUCAUCUUGUAAUGACACAAUCGUUUCGUUUAUUGAAGCUGAGGAUGAUAAAGGACCUUGGGUCUAUCAAAAUUUCGAAACACUGUCUGUUGAGAAGAUUCCUAAAGGAAAAUGCAUUCUGGGUCCUAAGCUAUCCUUUGCGGGUUUCAUGGUUGAGAAUGAAAUAUUGAAGAAUAGUUUGUGCCGGGCAAGGGCCUAGGCUCAUCUCUAUAGAGUAUUAUGCAUCCAGUGCACCCAAGUGGGAAUCCUGGUACAUUUGGUUUGGGAUUCACGCCCAUAGAGAAGGACCUGAAAAGGGUUAAAAAUCUAAAACAAAAGAUAUGGUCACUCCACAAGCCUGACCCGCACAUUUCUAAGUCCUUUGUCAAGAUAAGGGCCAAAAAACUUCCAACCUCAUCAAUGCCAAAACAUGUGGUCGAUGUUGAUGAAGAUGUGAUAAAGAGAUUAUAGAGUCUGUUCGAUGAGGUAAAUAUGGUAUAAAUUGGUGAAGGUUUUAGUAAAGUAGAUGUGCAGCUCGUUGGUCCAAACAUGAAGCUUAGCAACUGGGAAGCUACUCAUCACCCUACUAGGAAGGAGUUUUUGUAGUCUGCUUUAUUUUCCUUUCUGUUAUAUGGAUUAUUCCAGGGUUGUAAUCCAUAUUUUUACUUAUUGCUUAUUUUGAUGUUCAAACCCUUCUAUACUUUUAUUUUCAACGAAAUGCAAUUUCCUGUUUUCAUUAUUCCUAAUAGUGUUUUUUUUGUAUUUUCUUUCAUAUAGUUCUUUUUAUACUGGUUGCAAUGACAUGGCAUACAUGAAGAAUUUUCAACCAAGUCAAAGCCAAUCUUUUCUGAAAUAACAAUCCAAAAAGUAGAAUAUGAUGAUGAAAUAGAAUACGAUGAAGAAGCAAAAUUUAAGGAAACCAGUAAAGAGCUAAAACAAUUUUAAGAAAAACCAAAACUAACCGAGUGAAACUGAAGCAAUCAAUUUAGAGGACCAGGAUAAUGUUAGGGAAACCAAGAUAAGUAUCUAUUUAGAACCGCAAGUUAAGGAGGAAAUAAUCAAAACAUUGUUUGAGUACAAAGAUGACUUUGCAUGGUCAUAUGACGAUAUGCCGGGCUUGAGCACUGAUCUGGUAGUUCAUAAAUUGCCAAUUGAUCCAUCAUUCUGUCAUAUAAAGAAAACAUUAAGAAAUUUCAAAACUGAGUGAGCGUGAAGUGCAAAGAAGAAAUCACAAAGCAGCUUAGUGCAAAGGUUAUUAGGGUAACAUGAUUCAAUUAACACUUACAGAUGUGCCCAGAUUCCAAAUUAGGGCAAACAAAUUUCUUUUGUUUUGUUUAUUUUGUUGUAAUGGCGGGCACUAUGCGCAGGGUCUGGGGAAGGAUCAGACCAUAAGGAUCUAUAGUACGCAGCCUAACCCUGUAUUUUUGGAAGAGGUUGUUUCCACGGCUCGAACCCGUGACCUCCUAGUCAAAAUUACACCCCAAGUAAUUGGUUACAUCCUUUUUGGAAAGGCUUACUCUCUCCUCUUGCACAUCUGCAUGAUCAUGAUUGUGGUUCUAGUUUGCGUACAGUUCCCGAACCAUGCUUAGAUUGGUAUGACCAGGUGACUCUAACCCACCUAGAGAACAAGGGAUACAAUUUAUGUUUUGGAAAUCAGACGCCCACCUAGAUAACAAGGGAAUAUAAUUCAAGUUUAGGCAAUCAGGUAUCUACUAGGAGAACAAGGGAAUACAUUUCAAGUUUUGGCAAUCAAGCGCCCACCUGGAGAACAAGGGAAUACAAUUCAAGUUUUGACAAUCAAGCGCCAACCUGAAGAACGAGGGAAUUCAUUUCAGAACUUUCAAUUCUCAAAUUCAAGAGGCAUCUCGAGCCCUCCUGAAGAACAGGGUCAACUUUUAAUUUUCAAGUUCAAGUUUGAGGAGUAUCAAGUGCCCUCUUGAAGAACAUGGUCCAUUUUUGAGUUUCAUGUUGAAGGAUCAAGUAGAGAUUCAAGGAAUAUUCAAGACAUGAAGUAGAUAUGAUCUUGUAUUUUUUACUUUUGCUGCAAUAUUUUCUUUUAUUUUGAUGUAAUGACAGGAACCGUGGACCGGAACCUCGACGACACUUCACUCGACUCUCCACAUCGGUGUACUCCAUCACACUUCUCACUCCGAACUACACGUGACCUGAUUCCUUUAUGGCAAAGGAUAUGUAGGCAGCUCAGAUACCAGGGCUUGGUCACAUUCUCUUUUCUUUUAGUUUUUGUAUUUCUAAAUAAGGGUCGGGUCAAAAACAUGUCUUAUUGUACUUUGCCCAAAAAUACUUCGUGUUCUCCAUCAAAGAGGGGCAACUAUAGACAUGUAAUUUUUGAUCUGCACAUAAGAAUUACCCUCAAUAGUCCUAGUAUUUUUAGAAUAUUACUUGAGAUUAUUUCUAUAACAAAAUUUGAAAAAAAUACAAAAAUAAUAGUAUCUUUCCUAUUUAAUUCAGGUAUUAGGUAUUUUUAGAAAGAUGAAUUACUUUCAACUUAUUUUAUUUUCAAUAUAAUCUUUAAAAAAAUAGUUUACGCUUUGGUUUUCUAUUUUAUUUUAAUAUAAUAGUUUAUUAAAACAAAUUAAGAGAUAUUUUAUAUAUAGGUAUCUUAUAUUACUUUAGAAGUAAAUUAAAUUUUCAUUUUUUCUUAGCCCAAUUUUUAUAGAAUUUUAAAGCUCAAUUCAAACUUGAGCCUAACAGUGCCAAGACCCAGCUGAUCCCUUGUCCAGUCCGCUUGUCAUAAGAAACCCAUCAAACCUGCCCCAUUUCUAGCUUUAGAUCUUGGCCAUCCAUUUCCUUUAAUCCAACGACCCUUAUUCCUCACCACCUUAAUAUAAAAACCUAAUAUUCCCCAAAACUCUAACCCUAAAGACUCAACUCCAAACUGCGCUCAUUUUCUCCUCUACCCACCAAAAAUCCACCGAAAAUUCUAGAAUCCGGCUAGUUCCAUGUGUGUAUGGUCCCCGUCCCUCAUCUUUCACAUCUACGUAAUCAAAAUCUCAACAAACUCUAAAACAGAGAAUAUUCUCGUUCCCUCAUGCGAUUUUCUUUCAUCUUUUGGAUGAAUUUUUGAAAAGAAUGAAAGCCGUGGGAUUUGAAUUAUUAAAAUCCUAUCUUUUUAUUUUUCCGAAGUUAAUCAAAAAAGAGCAAAAAAUUAGGAAUAUUUCGGAUUGGUUGGCUUGGAGAGCAAACACGGAAGUUUCUGGAACUUCUAUAUAUUUGGAGUUCGUUUUCAAACCAAGGGACUUUUUAGACAGAAAUAUCGGAGAUCGAGAAAAAUUAGGGUUCUUUCUUUCUUUGGGAGUUUCUUUUGGACUUUUCAGUUUUCUUAUUUUCAAAAUUAAAAAAAAGAAAAAAAGAAGAGUGUGAGUUUCUUUCAAAUUGUAUUUCUAACUCAGAAAAUCAGAAACAUAUAAUUCUUUAUUUUCUUCUAGAUUUUGCUUCAAACAUGGAAUUCGAUUAAAGUUUGGUUUGAGGUUCGCAUCUGGUUUUAGAUUCGAGGUGCCAUCCGAGGUUUAAGGUCGUGAUUCUUGGUCCAGCCUAGUCACUGCACUUGCUCGAUCCCUUUUUAUUGCUAGAUUUCUUUGUCUGAACAUUCAAAGUCGAAGUAAUUGAAAAUUUUCAUUUCGUUUCGGAUUCUUUUACUUCGUUUUGGUAUUGAUUCAAAGUAUGAUAAGAGCUUUAAGGGUAAAAAAUGGGCCUAGCACUAUGAAUUUAGUUAUAGGUUUAGAGAUGAAUAAUGGAAUCUGAAUGCUAGUAGACGUAGUCUUCAGAUAGUAUCACAUUCAUAUGAAUUGCCUCCUACUACAUGUGUUCUAUUUACUCCUGGUAUUUGAAUGUUUUCUGAUUUUGGUUUUGCCUGACUCUACAUGUUUAGUUGAAGUUUGAUCCAAUUGCGUGAUAGUUUGAAUGGAUUAGACAUGUCGCAUUAAUGUUAGAAUUAGCUUGGCUGAUUUUCUUGAUAGGCGAAGAUACCAUGUUAACACACUUUAGUCGAUUCGUUAUUGCAUUUCUUUAUAUGAAAUCGAGAACAUACAGCCUCGCUAUUAAGGUUUUCAUCAUGCCCUUUUGCUCUUGUUGAUGAUAGCAUCAGAUUGAUUCACAUAAAGUUUUGUUUUGAUUACUGAACAUCGAAAACUAAUUCAUAGCGCCUUAGCUGAUUUUAUUUCUGUUAGUUUAAACAUGAAAUUGGUGCUGGAAUUUCUUCGAAAUUGUUUUCACUAUUAGCGUGACUCAAUCUUUUUAAAUUGUGAUGCAAUUUCUUGCCUAAAGCAAGCUAGAUGAGGUUCUUUGGGUGUUAAAACAAUGACAACGUCCUAGUGUCAAGUGAGUUCGAGCCAGUGAUAUGUUUGGCCUGAUAUUCCCCAUUAGUCUUUUGAUUAUCUUUUGUUAAAAUUGAGCAAAGGCAAACAUUUCAAGUCAUGCUUGCCAUAACUUAAUCGUUUUGUAUGGCCUGAUCAAUCCAUAUCCUUGAAGCAGGCGUAAGGCCAUUUUUUGAAGCUAUCUUACGUCCAUGUUGAAAUCUGUGGAGUUUUCAUAGUCUUUUGAUUUCUCGUAUAAAAUAAUGGUAAACACUCAUUUGAAAGAUGAUUUUCCAUCAUUUUUGCUUGUGAGUAAGUUAUUUUGAAGCAUGACUGAAUAUAAUGAAUUGCUAAAAAUAUAAUAAACUUUGGACGCAUGUAUUUCAGGCUGUGGUAUUGCCUCAUUUCUCAAAAUCGGCUUGUGAUAGUAGCACACAUUGAUUAAGUCUAAUACAACAACCCAGUAUAAUCCCACUUAGUGGGGUCUGGGGAGGAUAGUAUGUACGCGCACUUUACCCCUACUUCCAAAUAGACCCCCGGCAUCCUUCCUUCCAAGAACUUCUCACCUUGCUCUUGGGGAGAUUCGAACUCACAACCUCUCGGUUGGAAGUGGGGGUUGCUUACCAUCAGAGCCCCUCUUCUCUUAACAUUGAUUAAGUCUAGUAUGAAAAAUAUUUUGGGAUUCUCUUUCAUGUCUAGAAUACUACGUGCAAGUAUAAAAUCUUGAGUUUUGUUAACUGGGUUGAUGACUUCAUUGCUUAUCAGUAUUGAUUUCUUUUGGAUUCAGUUUAUUGCUAUAUUCAAAAUAAGUUUCAAUAUUUCACUGCUAUGAGAUUAUAAAUUAGUUUAAUGGGGAUGGUUAGAUAGACUUUAGAUGGCUCUUAUCAUACUUUGGGUCUGCCAUUUCUUGAUUUAUUUUGUUUACUGUAUCUUCAAAUUGUUACAUUUGCCUUUUCUUUCAUUUAUUUCUAUGUCGAGUUUUAUCCUCAUGUGUAGAUAAUUUGAAUUAGUUAUUCUGAAUCACUAUUUUAUGGGAUCGCGUGGUAAUGAGGUAAGCUAAGAAAUUUAGAAGGAAAAAUCAGCAUGUUGUUAAUUCAUCCUCGCUUAGCUUUCUUUUAUAUUUUUUUUAUUAUCCUAUUGUUUCGAACAGCAGGAGCAUAUUUUAGGCCGACCACAAUUGGUUAGGCAAGCCUUGGGAUUUUGUUGGUUUUAUUCCGGGGUAUGCCCCGAAGUAUUUGUACUUGGAGAUCGGUAGUAGAACUUGUAGUAUUCUAUCUUUAUCUUUAUUUUUAUUUUCAUUUCUCUUCUUAUUAGGUUGGGACGACCUCGAGCCUCGUAUGUGUUUAUUUUGCUUUUCAGUGAUUUUACCUCAACUUGAAUAUUUUAAUAGUCGACUAGAUCAAGUAUGCAACCGUAUUUUGAGAGUGCCUAACACAUUCUCCCGAGUCAAAUGAACUCCCUUACCCGAAUCUCUGGUGCGGACUCAAUUUGGAGUCCAAAGUAUUUUAAAGGAAUUUUUUUUAAAAAAAAUAUUGACCUGAAUCAGGUGGUGACUUUGAGUUAUUUUCUUUUGAACACAAUUCUUUAUCACUUUCAAAAUUGAAAAUUCUUUUGAGCUUUACACAAUUCUUUUAUUAAUUAAGAGGGU
rnacentral:lncRNA from 1 species